rnacentral:lncRNA from 1 species
UAAGAUGGGUCCUCUCUUCGUAGGCUAAUGCAUUGGCCCUUUUUUGACCCGUUUUGGGGCGAAAACAAAAACUGACUCCCGGGCAUAUUUUUUUCGGCCUUUAUGGGCAAAGAACUUUAAUACCGCUCAAAAUGAGGCCACCCAGUAGUUAGGUGUGAAUUUUCGAGACCUCUGGCAUCGUUCUAAGAUGGGUCCUCUCUUCGUAGGCUAAUGCAUUGGCCCUUUUUUGACCCGUUUUGGGGCGAAAACAAAAACUGACUCCCGGGCAUAUUUUUUUCGGCCUUUAUGGGCAAAGAACUUUAAUACCGCUCAAAAUGAGGCCACCCAGUAGUUAGGUGUGAAUUUUCGAGACCUUUGGCAUCGUUCUAAGAUGGGUCCUCUCUUCGUAGGCUAAUGCAUUGGCCCUUUUUUGACCCGUUUUGGGGCGAAAACAAAAAACUGACUCCCGGCAUAUUUUUUUCGGCCUUUAUGGGCAAAGAACUUUAGUACCCGCUCAAAAUGAGGCCACCCAGUAGUUAGGUGUGAAUUUUCGAGACCUUUGGCAUCGUUCUAAGAUGGGUCCUCUCUUCGUAGGCUAAUGCAUUGGCCCUUUUUUGACCCCUUUUUGGGGCGAAAACAAAAACUGACUCCCGAGCAUAUUUUUUUCGGCCUUUAUGGGCAGAGAACUUUAGUACCGCUCAAAAUGAGGCCACCCAGUAGUUAGGUGUGAAUUUUCGAGACCUUUGGCAUCGUUCUAAGAUGGGUCCUCUCUUCGUAGGCUAAUGCAUUGGCCCUUUUUUGACCCGUUUUGGGGCGAAAACAAAAACUGACUCCCGGGCAUAUUUUUUUCGGCCUUUAUGGGCAAAGAACUUUAGUACCGCUCAAAAUGAGGCCACCCAGUAGUUAGGUGUGAAUUUUCGAGACCUUUGGCAUCGUUCUAAGAUGGGUCCUCUCUUCGUAGGCUAAUGCAUUGGCCCUUUUUUGACCACCGUUUUGGGGCGAAAAACAAAAACUGACUCCCGGGCAUAUUUUUUUCGGCCUUUAUGGGCAAAGAACUUUAGUACCGCUCAAAAUGAGGCCACCCAGUAGUUAGGUGUGAAUUUUCGAGACCUUUGGCACCGUUCUAAGAUGGGUCCUCUCUUCGUAGGCUAAUGCAUUGGCCCUUUUUUGACCCGUUUUGGGGCGAAAACAAAAACUGACUCCCGGGCAUAUUUUUUUCGGCCUUUAUGGGCAAAGAACUUUAAGUACCGCUCAAAAUGAGGCCACCCAGUAGUUAGGUGUGAAUUUUCGAGACCUUUGGCAUCGUUCUAAGAUGGGUCCUCUCUUCGUAGGCUAAUGCAUUGGCCCUUUUUUGACCCGUUUUGGGGCGAAAACAAAAACUGACUCCCGGGCAUAUUUUUUUCGGCCUUUAUGGGCAGAGAACUUUAGUACCGCUCAAAAUGAGGCCACCCAGUAGUUAGGUGUGAAUUUUCGAGACCUUUGGCAUCGUUCUAAGAUGGGUCCUCUCUUCGUAGGCUAAUGCAUUGGCCUUUUUUGACCCGUUUUGGGGCGAAAACAAAAACUGACUCCCGGGCAUAUUUUUUUCGGCCUUUAUGGGCAAAGAACUUUAGUACCGCUCAAAAUGAGGCCACCCAGUAGUUAGGUGUGAAUUUUCGAGACCUUUGGCACCGUUCUAAGAUGGGUCCUCUCUUCGUAGGCUAAUGCAUUGGCCCUUUUUGACCCGUUUUGGGGCGAAAACAAAAACUGACUCCCGGGCAUAUUUUUUUCGGCCUUUAUGGGCAAAGAACUUUAGUACCGCUCAAAAUGAGGCCACCCAGUAGUUAGGUGUGAAUUUUCGAGACCUUUGGCACCGUUCUAAGAUGGGUCCUCUCUUCGUAGGCUAAUGCAUUGGCCCUUUUUUGACCCGUUUUGGGGCGAAAACAAAAACUGACUCCCGGGCAUAUUUUUUUCGGCCUUUAUGGGCAAAGAACUUUAGUACCGCUCAAAAUGAGGCCACCCAGUAGUUAGGUGUGAAUUUUCGAGACCUUUGGCAUCGUUCUAAGAUGGGUCCUCUCUUCGUAGGCUAAUGCAUUGGCCCUUUUUUGACCCGUUUUGGGGCGAAAACAAAAACUGACUCCCGGGCAUAUUUUUUUCGGCCUUUAUGGGCAGAGAACUUUAGUACCGCUCAAAAUGAGGCCACCCAGUAGUUAGGUGUGAAUUUUCGAGACCUUUGGCAUCGUUCUAAGAUGGGUCCUCUCUUCGUAGGCUAAUGCAUUGGCCCUUUUUUGACCCGUUUUGGGGCGAAAACAAAAACUGACUCCCGGGCAUAUUUUUUUCGGCCUUUAUGGGCAGAGAACUUUAGUACCGCUCAAAAUGAGGCCACCCAGUAGUUAGGUGUGAAUUUUCGAGACCUUUGGCAUCGUUCUAAGAUGGGUCCUCUCUUCGUAGGCUAAUGCAUUGGCCCUUUUUUGACCCCUUUUUGGGGCGAAAACAAAAACUGACUCCCGAGCAUAUUUUUUUCGGCCUUUAUGGGCAAAGAACUUUAGUACCGCUCAAAAUGAGGCCACCCAGUAGUUAGGUGUGAAUUUUCGAGACCUUUGGCAUCGUUCUAAG